CUAUACAUGCAGUCGAGCGGACAGAAGGGAGCUUGCUCCCGGAUGUUAGCGGCGGACGGGUGAGUAACACGUGGGUAACCUGCCUGUAAGACUGGGAUAACUCCGGGAAACCGGAGCUAAUACCGGAUAGUUCCUUGAACCGCAUGGUUCAAGGAUGAAAGACGGUUUCGGCUGUCACUUACAGAUGGACCCGCGGCGCAUUAGCUAGUUGGUGGGGUAAUGGCUCACCAAGGCGACGAUGCGUAGCCGACCUGAGAGGGUGAUCGGCCACACUGGGACUGAGACACGGCCCAGACUCCUACGGGAGGCAGCAGUAGGGAAUCUUCCGCAAUGGACGAAAGUCUGACGGAGCAACGCCGCGUGAGUGAUGAAGGUUUUCGGAUCGUAAAGCUCUGUUGUUAGGGAAGAACAAGUGCGAGAGUAACUGCUCGCACCUUGACGGUACCUAACCAGAAAGCCACGGCUAACUACGUGCCAGCAGCCGCGGUAAUACGUAGGUGGCAAGCGUUGUCCGGAAUUAUUGGGCGUAAAGGGCUCGCAGGCGGUUUCUUAAGUCUGAUGUGAAAGCCCCCGGCUCAACCGGGGAGGGUCAUUGGAAACUGGGAAACUUGAGUGCAGAAGAGGAGAGUGGAAUUCCACGUGUAGCGGUGAAAUGCGUAGAGAUGUGGAGGAACACCAGUGGCGAAGGCGACUCUCUGGUCUGUAACUGACGCUGAGGAGCGAAAGCGUGGGGAGCGAACAGGAUUAGAUACCCUGGUAGUCCACGCCGUAAACGAUGAGUGCUAAGUGUUAGGGGGUUUCCGCCCCUUAGUGCUGCAGCUAACGCAUUAAGCACUCCGCCUGGGGAGUACGGUCGCAAGACUGAAACUCAAAGGAAUUGACGGGGGCCCGCACAAGCGGUGGAGCAUGUGGUUUAAUUCGAAGCAACGCGAAGAACCUUACCAGGUCUUGACAUCCUCUGACAACCCUAGAGAUAGGGCUUUCCCUUCGGGGACAGAGUGACAGGUGGUGCAUGGUUGUCGUCAGCUCGUGUCGUGAGAUGUUGGGUUAAGUCCCGCAACGAGCGCAACCCUUGAUCUUAGUUGCCAGCAUUCAGUUGGGCAUUCUAAGGUGACUGCCGGUGACAAACCGGAGGAAGGGGGGGAUGACGCCAA
rnacentral:rRNA from 1 species